UUCUUGGUGUUCCCCCAUCUCCUCGCCUUUUCUUACACUUCUUCCUCAGCCUGGAAUGCGUCAUUACUAGUCAAGGCCCUUCUCUGCCAAUUUGGCUAGGCAUCAUAUCUGUCGUGUCUUUCCCCACCACCUACUCAUCUAUCUGCUUAUCCACCCAUUUAUCUAUUAUUUGAUCAGUUGAUUGACUCGUCCAUCCACUCACUUAUCCACCCACUCACCCAUAUAUCCAUCUAUCCAGCAAAUGUUUCCUGGGUAUCCAUUAUGAACUACACAGAACACAUUAUAUAAGACAGACAUGCCCCCUGCCCACAUGUAGCUCUAGUCUAUGACAUAAAUGAACAUUAAAUCUUUCUCACUCUUUCUCUUUUACACACACACACACACACACACACACACACACACACACACACACACAAUGGAACCAGUGCUGUAAGGAAAGAUAAGCCAAAUACUACAAGGGAGAGAAAGUAGAAGAACAGAAGGAGCAUGGAUUCUGGAGCCAGAUAAACCAAAGUCAAGCUCUGCCCUGGCGCCUGCCCAGCUGUGUGACCUUGAGCAUCUCACUCUCCUCUCUGAGACUCAGUUUUCCCAUCGGAAAGAACCUUGAAAGAGCACUAGAUGCUUUACAGUCAGAGCAAGCAAGUAUUCAACAACCCGAAGAGACCAGCAUUGUUUGCUCCCAUUUUUCAGAAAAGAUAACUGAGACUCAUAGAGUUGAGAUGGCCAACAUCCAUGACCUGGAUAGCAGCUGCAGACUCUAAAUUAAUCUUCACCAGCUGGUUGGUGACCAGGACAAGGCCCUACCACACUCAGGACACCUGCCUCUUCACUCCACACAGGAAGAUUGGCUCUAGUCAGCCGGCUGAUGUUUUGGAAGCUGUGUGGAGGAAGUGAACUUGGAACUCUGCACCCUCCUUCCCCAAGGUUUCAUCUCUUAUGCCCACUCAAGAUGUAUUUUUGGAGAGGGGGGAACAAGGAAGACCCUCCAGAAGCAAAGCCAGAAGUCAUGGAGGAUAGUGUCAAGGACAUUUCUCUAAAAGAGAAGCAAUGAAGUGGAAAAGUAAAACUUUAAAUCCACCCUUAGCUUAUCCAAUUUCUCAUCAUGCCUAAACAUGAAUAUCACACAUGACACUUAGAAAACCUCUUGCGUCCUGAGAAAACUACACAAAAAAAGUGUAUCUGGUCUUUUCUUAAACUGCUCAAUAGUUUUGCUUAACACUAAACUCUAAAUAGAUUAAAUAUUGGGCCCCGUGAUAAGCAGCUUCUAACACUGCUCUCUCUGGUCCCAUCUCCUGGGUUUCUCACUCCCUUUGUGUGACCUGCUCACCUUGAAUGUGGACUGGACCUAGUGAUUUACUUCUUCUUUUUUUGUUUGAUACAUAUAUUUACUAGAUUUUGUUUUUAACUUUAUUUUUGUUAUUGAUGUCUAUAAAUGUCCCCAUUUCUCCCCCUCCCCACCCUUUGCCCACCUCCACCUAGCCCUCACCCCCUUCCCUCUGGUCAUCACCACACUCUUGUCUGUGUCUAUAAGUUAUGAAUAUAGGUUCUUUGGCUGAUCCCUUCACCUUCUUUCAUCCACUUACUAGAUUUUAAAUGGUGAGAUUAAAUCAUGGGUUUAUCCUCUGCUUCUGAAAAUAGAACUGCUAACGGAGUAAGUCCCUGGAGGCUGAAAGGCUAAUACCUUGACAGGAAUUAAUUAGUCUUUCAUUCUUUAUUUUUUUGUUUUGUUAAUCCUCACCAGAGGAUAAUGUUUACCAUUGAUUUUUUUUUUUUUAGAGAAAAUGGA